ensembl:snoRNA
UCAUGUCUGUUCCUCUCACUGCUUGGAGCCUUAAGUAGUGGGAUUUUAGUCCAUCAUAUAUCUAAGCUGACUUGUUUUCACGCAGGGCACCAUGGGAAUGGGUUGGCUGUAGUGCCUUCUGAUUUUUGUGGAAUCAAACAAUU